GUCAAGGUGCCACAGUGGUUAAUGGGCUGCCCUGCUAUGAAUUUCUGACUUCUGUUAGCAUUCUAGUUGUCUAGGCAGUGGCUUCGGUCGCGCAGGUUCGAAUCCUGUCCUUGACG
rfam:Colletotrichum gloeosporioides Nara gc5 unplaced genomic scaffold scaffold467, whole genome shotgun sequence.